rnacentral:tRNA from 1 species
AGGACUUUAGCUUAAUUAAAGCAUCUGGGUUGCAUUCAGAACAUGUGAGGGUAUCUUGCAAGUCCUA